GGCCUCUUUCCCAUGGGGCUGCAGGGACGGCAGGGUCCCUUUUCUCCUCAGCCAGGGCUGGAGGACAAGAUCAGCCCUUGAGGAUCAUUGUCAGGGCUGCCACAUAUUCAUCACUUCACAUGGUAGCCAUUGUCCUUCUGGCAGCCUCGUUUUCCUGCCUCAGACAUCU
ensembl:scaRNA